AUUGAACGCUGGCGGCAGGCUUAACACAUGCAAGUCGAGCGGAGAUGAGGUGCUUGCACCCUAUCUUAGCGGCGGACGGGUGAGUAAUGCUUAGGAAUCUGCCUAUUAGUGGGGGACAACAUUCCGAAAGGAAUGCUAAUACCGCAUACGCCCUACGGGGGAAAGCAGGGGAUAUUCGGACCUUGCGCUAAUAGAUGAGCCUAAGUCGGGUUAGCUAGUGGGUGGGGUAAAGGCCUACCAAGGCGACGAUCUGUAGCGGGUCUGAGAGGAUGAUCCGCCACACUGGGACUGAGACACGGCCCAGACUCCUACGGGAGGCAGCAGUGGGGAAUAUUGGACAAUGGGCGGAAGCCUGAUCCAGCCAUGCCGCGUGUGUGAAGAAGGCCUUUUGGUUGUAAAGCACUUUAAGCGAGGAGGAGGCUACCUGGAUUAAUACUCUAGGAUAGUGGACGUUACUCGCAGAAUAAGCACCGGCUAACUCUGUGCCAGCAGCCGCGGUAACAC
rnacentral:rRNA from 1 species